rnacentral:rRNA from 1 species
GACGAACGCUGGCGGCGUGCCUAAUACAUGCAAGUUGAGCGCUGAAGGGUGGUACUUGUCCCAACUGGAUGGGGAGCGGACGGGUGAGUAACGCGUGGGGGAUCUGCCGUGGAGCGGGGGACAAGGUUUGGAAACGAAUGAUAAUACAGCAUAAGAAGGUGAAACAGAAGUUUUAAGGUUGAAAGAUGCAAUUGCAUCACUUAAAGAUGAUCCGUCGUUGUGUUAGCUAGUUGGUGAGGUAAAGGAUCACCAAGGCGGUGAUACAUAGCCGACCUGAGAGGGUGGUCCGCCACAUUGGGACUGAGACACGGCCCCAACUCCUACGGGAGGCAGCCGUAGGGAAACUUCGGCAAUAGACGCAAGGCUGACCGCGCACCUCCGCGUGAGUGAAGAAGGUUCUCCGGUCUUAAAACUCUGUUGGUAGAGAAGAACGUUGGUGAGAGUGGAACCCUCAUCAAGUGACGGUAACUACCCAGAAAGCGCCGGCUAACUACGUG